rnacentral:rRNA from 1 species
GGACUACCAGGGUUUCUAAUCCUGUUUGCUCCCCACGCUUUCGCACCUCAGCGUCAGUACCGGGCCAGUGAGCCGCCUUCGCCACUGGUGUUCUUGCGAAUAUCUACGAAUUUCACCUCUACACUCGCAGUUCCACUCACCUCUCCCGGACUCAAGAUCGCCAGUAUCAAAGGCAGUUCUGGAGUUGAGCUCCAGGAUUUCACCCCUGACUUAACAAUCCGCCUACGUGCGCUUUACGCCCAGUGAUUCCGAGCAACGCUAGCCCCCUUCGUAUUACCGCGGCUGCUGGCAC